rnacentral:lncRNA from 1 species
CAACAUUAUCCAACAUUAUCCUGGAGUCUCUAGCCAAUGCAUACAACAGCAAAACCACUAAGAUAAACAAAUAUAUGAAUGGAAAAGACAGACUUUUAAAUUCUCAGGCGAUGUAUCUACUUAAAAUUUUAAAACAAAGUCAAACAAUCCAUUAAAAGCUAUUAAGUAUAGAAACUAAAAACUGUCCUGUGUACUAUAUAUCAGUGAAGCUCAUUUAUAAAAUGUAGUAUAAAAGGUGAGUCACAAGAGCAACAAGAACUAAAAUAUUUUUAGAAUUGCUAGAAAAUUUCAAAUCUAUAUAAGGAAAAUUGUAAAUAUUUAUUGCAGGUAUAAAAGAAAACAUCAGGAAAAAAAGAGGCACAGAUCAUCACUGCUCCACCUAAUUUCAAUAACCAUGAUUUAAUUAAAUAACUCUGAGAUCUUUAGCCCAAGAAGGAGUAGGUGAGUCUUAGCCUGCUUUCUUGGCUAUUGAAUGCUUCUCGAAAGGAUGCCGAAGAACUUGCUGGAGAAGAUGUACCUGGUAAAUAACGUGGGCAGAUAAAUGUUGAUUAUAAUUACCCAGGACCCUGAUGAAUUUCUACAUUUCUAAAAGGCAAGGUCAAUUUUAAAUGUUUAAAAAUGUUUCUACUUUGGGAAGCAGAAGCAGGCAGAUCACUGGAGGUCAGGAGUUGAAGACCAGCCUGGCAAACAUUGUGAAACCUUGUCUGUAUUAAAAACGCAAAAAUUAGCUGGGCAUGGAGGCGUCUGCCUGGACUCCCAGCUACUUGGGAAUUUGAUGCAGGAGAAUGGCUUGAAACUGAAUGUGGAGGACGCAGUGAGCCGAGAUCACGACACUAUACUCCAGCCUGGGCAACAAAGCUAGAUUGUCUCAUAUCGAACAAACAGCAAUAAAAGUUCAUACAUUUUGUUUUAUGAAAAAUCUCAACUCUACUUCUUACUUAGAAUUGUUAUUAUUGCACAGAAGUUCCUUAAGUAUUAUUUUUAUACUAAACUAAGAGAAGGAAUAUGUACACUGUCACGGAGAGUACACAUAUAUCCC